AGAGUUUGAUCAUGGCUCAGGACGAACGCUGGCGGCGCGCCUAACACAUGCAAGUCGAACGAGAGAGAGGGAGCUUGCUUCCUCAAUCGAGUGGCGAACGGGUGAGUAACGCGUGAGGAACCUGCCUCAAAGAGGGGGACAACAGUUGGAAACGACUGCUAAUACCGCAUAAGCCCACGGCUCGGCAUCGAGCAGAGGGAAAAGGAGCAAUCCGCUUUGAGAUGGCCUCGCGUCCGAUUAGCUAGUUGGUGAGGUAAUGGCCCACCAAGGCGACGAUCGGUAGCCGGACUGAGAGGUUGAACGGCCACAUUGGGACUGAGACACGGCCCAG
rnacentral:rRNA from 1 species